UCCGGAGGGGACUAGCGUUGUUCGGAAUUACUGGGCGUAAAGCGCACGUAGGCGGCUUUGUAAGUCAGGGGUGAAAUCCCGGGGCUCAACCUCGGAACUGCCUUUGAUACUGCAAAUCUCGAGUCCGGAAGAGGUGAGUGGAAUUCCUAGUGUAGAGGUGAAAUUCGUAGAUAUUAGGAAGAACACCAGUGGCGAAGGCGGCUCACUGGUCCGGUACUGACGCUGAGGUGCGAAAGCGUGGGGAGCAAACAGG
rnacentral:rRNA from 1 species